UACGUAGGGUGCAAGCGUUGUCCGGAAUUAUUGGGCGUAAAGAGCUCGUAGGCGGCCUGUUACGUCUGCUGUGAAAUCCCGGGGCUUAACCCCGGGCGUGCAGUGGAUACGGGCAGGCUGGAGGCAGGCAGGGGAGAACGGAAUUCCUGGUGUAGCGGUGAAAUGCGCAGAUAUCAGGAGGAACACCGGUGGCGAAGGCGGGUCUCUGGGCCGAUAUUGACGCUGAGGAGCGAAAGCGUGGGGAGCGAACAGG
rnacentral:rRNA from 1 species